rnacentral:rRNA from 1 species
GUGAGGAAUUUUCCGCAAUGGGCGAAAGUCUGACGGAGCAAUGCCGCGUGAAGGAUGAAGGCCUAUGGGUUGUAAACUUCUUUUCUUAGAGAAGAAUAUUGACGGUAUCUGAGGAAUAAGCAUCGGCUAACUCUGUGCCAGCAGCCGCGGUAAGACAGAGGAUGCAAGCGUUAUCCGGAAUGAUUGGGCGUAAAGCGUCUGUAGGUGGCUUCAAAAGUCUCCUGUCAAAGAUCAGGGCUUAACCCUGGGCCGGCAGGAGAAACUCUGAGGCUAGAGUUUGGUAGGGGCAGAGGGAAUUCCCGGUGGAGCGGUGAAAUGCGUAGAGAUCGGGAGGAACACCAAAGGCGAAAGCACUCUGCUGGGCCACAACUGACACUGAGAGACGAAAGCGAGGGGAGCAAAAGGGAUUAGAAACCCUUGUAGUCC